rnacentral:rRNA from 1 species
AUUGAACGCUGGCGGUAUGCUUAACACAUGCAAGUCGAACGGUAACAGGCCUUCGGGCGCUGACGAGUGGCGGACGGGUGAGUAACGCGUAGGAAUCUGCCUUAUAGUGGGGACAACGUGGGGAAACUCACGCUAAUACCGCAUACGCCCUACGGGGAAAGCGGGGAUCGUAAGACCUCGCGCUAUGAGAUGAGCCUGCGUUAGAUUAGCUAGUUGGUAGGGUAAAGGCCUACCAAGGCGACGAUCUAUAGCUGGUCUGAGAGGACGAUCAGCCACACUGGGACUGAGACACGGCCCAGACUCCUACGGGAGGCAGCAGUGGGGAAUAUUGGACAAUGGGCGCAAGCCUGAUCCAGCAAUACCGCGUGUGUGAAGAAG